UAAUACGAGGGUGGCAAGCGUUGUUCGGAAUUAUUGGGCGUAAAGGGCGCGUAGGCGGCAUUGCAAGUCGGAUGUGAAAGCCCCGGGCUUAACUCGGGAAUUGCAUCCGAAACUGUUUUGCUUGAGUCCUGGAGGGGGUAGUGGAAUUCCCAGUGUAGCGGUGAAAUGCGUAGAUAUUGGGAGGAACACCUGCGGCGAAGGCGGCUACCUGGACAGUGACUGACGCUGAGGCGCGAAAGCUAGGGGAGCGAACGGGAUUAGAUACCCCGGUAGUCCUAGCCGUAAACGAUGGGCACUUGGUGUCGGGGGUAUUGAGUCCCCCGGUGCCGGAGUUAACACGUUAAGUGCCCCGCCUGGGGAGUACGGUCGCAAGACUG
rnacentral:rRNA from 1 species